GUGCCAGCCGCCGCGGUAAUACGGAGGGUGCAAGCGUUAUCCGGAUUCAUUGGGUUUAAAGGGUGCGCAGGCGGAAUGAUAAGUCAGUGGUGAAAUCCUACGGCUCAACUGUAGAACUGCCAUUGAUACUGUCAUUCUUGAGUAUAGUUGAAGUGGGUGGAAUGUAUCAUGUAGCGGUGAAAUGCAUAGAUAUGAUACAGAACUCCGAUAGCGAAGGCAACUCACUAAACUAAAACUGACGCUCAUGCACGAAAGCGUGGGGAGCAAACAGGAUUAGAUACCCUCGUAGUCC
rnacentral:rRNA from 1 species